UCACAUCUCAUGAGGGAUAUUCUAUAUCUGGCAGUGGGUCAUUUAUAGAGCCCAUCACAGGCUGGCCAACACCCAUGAUGGGAUCAACAAGCCAAAUCUGGACCCCUCCUGAAAAUUUAAGAGGAAGCUGCAAAAUUCCUUAUCCCUAUACCAUGAAAUUUUACAACAAUCUUAUAAAAACAAACAAUCAAGAUUAUAGGGAUUUUGUAGAGAGAGCAGAUGCUACACAAACUUUAAAUGUUGGAAAAAGUUCAAAAAGUAAAGUUGAUAUUGUUAAAAAGAAAAAAACAUUCUCAUUUUUAAUGAACAGUGG
rnacentral:lncRNA from 1 species